UACGAAGGGGGCUAGCGUUGUUCGGAUUUACUGGGCGUAAAGCGCACGUAGGCGGACUUUUAAGUCAGGGGUGAAAUCCCGGGGCUCAACCCCGGAACUGCCUUUGAUACUGGAAGUCUUGAGUAUGGUAGAGGUGAGUGGAAUUCCGAGUGUAGAGGUGAAAUUCGUAGAUAUUCGGAGGAACACCAGUGGCGAAGGCGGCUCACUGGCUCGAUACUGACGCUGAGGUGCGAAAGCGUGGGGAGCAAACAGG
rnacentral:rRNA from 1 species